GACGAACGCUGGCGGCGUGCUUAACACACGCAAGUCGAACGGAAAGGCUCCAGCUUGCUGGAGUACUCGAGUGGCGAACGGGUGAGUAACACGUGGGUAAUCUGCCCUGCACUCUGGAAUAAGCCUGGGAAACUGGGUCUAAUACUGGAUAUGACCUUUCUCCUUAUGGGGUUUGGUGGAAAGUUUUUCGGUGUAGGAUGAGCCCGCGGCCUAUCAGCUUGUUGGUGGGGUGAUGGCCUACCAAGGCGACGACGGGUAGCCGACCUGAGAGGGUGAUCGGCCACAUUGGGACUGAGAUACGGCCCAGACUCCUACGGGAGGCAGCAGUGGGGAAUAUUGCACAAUGGGCGGAAGCCUGAUGCAGCGACGCCGCGUGAGGGAUGACGGCCUUCGGGUUGUAAACCUCUUUCAGCAGGGACGAAGCGUAAGUGACGGUACCUGCAGAAGAAGCACCGGCUAACUACGUGCCAGCCGCCGCCGUAA
rnacentral:rRNA from 1 species